rnacentral:misc_RNA from 1 species
UCCUAGUUUCCUAGGCAGUCCCAUUAGAGUGCUCUACAAGUAGAUAGCAACUAAUGGCAGGGGUUGCGCUCGUUAAAGGACUUAACCCAACAUCUCACGACACGAGCUGACGACAGCCAUGCAGCACCUGUGCAAAUGUCCGGAUCGAAACCCGGAAGAUUGUAUUUCUACAACUGUCAUAAGCAUGUCAAGUCCAGGUAAGGUUUCUCGCGUAGUGUCGAAUUAAACCACAUGUUCCACCGCUUGUGUGAGCCCCCGUCAAUUCCUUUAAGUUUUAGCCUUGCGACCGUACUCCCCAGGCGAACCACUUAACGCGUUAGCUUUGAUACCAAUCCAGCUAAGCCAGACUGACAUCCAGUGGUCAUCGUUUACAGCGUGGACUAC